rnacentral:rRNA from 1 species
UACGAAGGGUGCUAGCGUUAUUCGGAAUUAUUGGGCGUAAAGGGUGUGUAGACGGCAUAUUAAGUCAACUGUUAAAUUCUCCGGCCUAACUGGGGGUCAGCGGUAGAAACUGAUGUGCUAGAGGAUGAAAGAGAGAAGUGGAAUUCUCGGAGUAGCGGUAAAAUGCGUAGAUCUCGAGAGGAACACCGAUGGCGAAGGCAGCUUCUUGGUUCAUUCCUGACGUUGAGACACGAAAGCGUGGGGAGCAAACAGG